AUUGAACGCUGGCGGCAGGCCUAACACAUGCAAGUCGAGCGGAUGAAGGGAGCUUGCUCCUGGAUUCAGCGGCGGACGGGUGAGUAAUGCCUAGGAAUCUGCCUGGUAGUGGGGGGUAACGUCCGGAAACGGGCGCUAAUACCGCAUACGUCCUGAGGGAGAAAGUGGGGGAUCUUCGGACCUCACGCUAUCAGAUGAGCCUAGGUCGGAUUAGCUAGUUGGUGGGGUAAAGGCCUACCAAGGCGACGAUCCGUAACUGGUCUGAGAGGAUGAUCAGUCACACUGGAACUGAGACACGGUCCAGACUCCUACGGGAGGCAGCAGUGGGGAAUAUUGGACAAUGGGCGAAAGCCUGAUCCAGCCAUGCCGCGUGUGUGAAGAAGGUCCUCGGAUUGUAAAGCACUUUAAGUUGGGAGGAAGGGCAGUAAGUUAAUACCUUGCUGUUUUGACGUUACCAACAGAAUAAGCACCGGCUAACUUCGUG
rnacentral:rRNA from 1 species